GACGAACGCUGGCGGCGUGCCUAACACAUGCAAGUCGAACGGAAAGGCCCUGCUCUUGUGGUGUGCUCGAGUGGCGAACGGGUGAGUAACACGUGUGUAACCUGCCCUUGACUUUGGGAUAACAUCAGGAAACUGGGGCUCAUACCGGAUAGGAGCUCCUGCUGCAUGGUGGGGGUUGGAAAGUUUCGGCGGUUGGGGAUGGACUCGCGGCUUAUCAGCUUGUUGGUGGGGUAGUGGCUUACCAAGGCUUUGACGGGUAGCCGGACUGAGAGUGUGACCGGCCACAAUGGGCCUGAGGUAGGGGCCAGACUCCAACGGGAGGCAGGAGUGGGAGAUAUUGCACAAUGGGCGGAAGCCUGGUACAACGACGCCGCGUGCGGGAUGACGGCCUUCGGGUUAUAAACCGCUUUCGCCUGUGACGAAGCGUGAGUGACGGUAAUGAGUAAAGAAGCACCGGCUAACUACGUG
rnacentral:rRNA from 1 species